GUGCAGCAGUCGCGAAACUUUACAAUGUGCGAAAGCACGAUAAGGGAACUCUGAGUGCCUCCUAAGGAGGCUGUUCAGGUGUCUAAAAGCACCUGAAGGAAGGGCUGGGUAAGACCGGUGCCAGCCGCCGCGGUAACACCGGCAGCCCAAGUGGUAGCCACGUUUAUUGGGUCUAAAGCGUCCGUAGCCGGCUGGGUAAGUUCCUUGGGAAAUUUGGCUGCUUAACAGUCAAGCUUUCAGGGAAUACUGCCCGGCUCGGGACCGGGAGAGGUCAGAGGUACUCCAGGGGUAGGGGUGAAAUCCAUUAAUCCUUGGGGGACCACCGGUAGCGAAGGCGUCUGACCAGACCGGGUCCGACGGUGAGGGACGAAGGCUAGGGGCGCGAACCGGAUUAGAUACCCGGGUAGU
rnacentral:rRNA from 1 species